GAUGUUUUGUUUUUCAUAGUUAGCAGAUGUAGAACUGAAUUGAUUUGGCUAAUGCACUUAUGGAAAUAAUGUCUGAAGUAAUAGCCAAAUAUAACUUUUAUUUUAGGAAUACUGGAAGAUAAAGACCCUUUGUGUACUUACCAUUUUAAGGAAAACAAGCCCCAUGGAUUGCAAGACUACAGUGCUUCACAAACAGUGGAGCACUAUUCCCAAACGAUAUUGGGAAAGAUGAGUUUUGUAGAGUUAGAAGCCGCAACACAGAGACACGGCAUGAUUUGCUUGCGUUGCACAUCUGACCUUUUAAGAUGACAAAAAAGAGCUGCCAAAGUGAAGGAGCAGGAUGGAGCAUGAACGGGAGGAAAUGGAUGACUAGGAACUGCUUUCCUUAAGAAACAGAGACCAAGGAAGAAGAAAGGUUGUUUCUGGCAGAGAACAGCGAAUGGCAAGAAAGAGCAUGAGACUGGCACUGCAGAGCAGCACAGAAAGCUCAAGCUCAGGGGAAAUGAUCUGUUGACUACUUUAAAAGAAGGUGAGGUGAUGGGAUUCCCUCUUUUAUGAAAUGGAUAAUUGACAGUGAUGCCAUUCAAAUAUUCUUAUUUAGGGAAUCAAGAAGUGGUUCAAUAAUCUCUAGUAAAAAUGUUAUGCAGUAGGAAGUAGACAAUUUCCCCAAACAGAAGGCAUGACUUGCAGAAUAUUCCAUGCCUCUGUUUCCUCCCACUGCUAUAGUUUGUGUAAAUUGUCUUUGGAAGAAAAGACCAAAGUCUUGUAGUCUUCUAUUCUGAACUUGGUAGGAGUUUUUCAAGUCAAAAACGUAGAUUUUUUUUU